rnacentral:rRNA from 1 species
ACUCAAAUGAAUUGACGGGGACCCGCACAAGCGGUGGAGUGUGUUCUUUAAUUCGAUGGUAAGCGAAGAACCUUACCAGGGUUUGACAUCCUUGGAAUUUCUCCGAAAGGAGAGAGUGCUUUAUUGAGCCAAGUGACAGGUGUUGCAUGGCCGUCGUCAGCUCGUGUCGUGAGAUGUUUGGUUAAGUCCAUCAACGAGCGCAACCCUUGUGAAUAGUUGAAUUUUUCUAUUCAGACUGCCCCGGUAACGGGGAGGAAGGGGGGGAUGAUGUCAGGUCAGUAUUACCCUUACACCCUGGGCUAGAAACACACUACAAUGGCCGGUACAAAGGGCUGCCAAGUCGCGAGACGGAGCAAAUCCCAUCAAAGCCGGUCCCAGUUCGGAUAGCAGGCUGAAACCCGCCUGCUUGAAGUUGGAAUCGCUAGUAACGGUGAGUCAGCAUAUUACCGUGAAUACGUUCCCGGGUCUUGUACACACCGCCCGU